rnacentral:misc_RNA from 1 species
UUACUGUGCAAUUUCAAGCGAGGCUAUUAUUGAUUGUAGAUUUGUUAAUGAGUACGCUCUUGCAGCUCGAUAUGAGAUUUAUAAAACAUCCUAUUUACAGCAUUCAUUCCUUUCUUGUGUGUGUACGUGACAUCACGAAACGUUACGCAAGCGAAAACUUUUGCUUAGCUUCACAAAUUUACUGCAAGAAGUUUAUCAAACAGAAACAAGGUUGUCGUUGCACAUUACGAGUUUCCACGAAUUCCUUGUAUUUAUCAAUUUCACUUGAGGCUUGGUUUUUGCGAGCAAACAGCGGAGAGGGUUUCCAUUGCUUAUAGAGCGUCCCGAAAGUGCGACACUUAUGAAGAGAAAAGAGUUGUCAUUAAGGCGGAGAUCCGUGCGGGUUGUUCGUAAUGAAACGAAAACGGCGCGUCGAAUCGAGUCGCGAAAAUAAAUGACAUCAGAUCUCCUGUCACUCCGUUUUCAUCUCGGGGGAUGAACGCACUUUGCAACAAGCUUACUGUUUAAUAGCAAUCGCCGUUGUGCGCGCGACCCGCUUGCUAGAUUGUAAAUCUUUGCGCGUACGCGGAGUGAUUAAUUGUUCGACUAACUGUAUGAAAGGGCAAAAUGAAAUUGGCAGUGGACUUGUUUUCUGUUUUUUUUUUGUUGCAUUCAACGAGAACGGCUUUCAAGUUCGCUUUUUUAAUCAUGGAAAAUCAUGGUAGAAGAGAGAACCUGCAUAUUGUUCUUUGUUCAUACAGAAAUAAUACUGUCGAUAUCGAUUCGGAAAAUAGAUUUUUACUUUUGGUUCUGCGCUGCGUCUUUUAACACAAUAAAUUAUAGCUAUUUUCAUCUAUUCCAAUGGUUCUUUUUAACAGCUUUCGACAGUUCUCGCACAGAUUUCUAAUUACGACGAUAGAAAUGAAAAAUAAAUCCGUAUGAAUAAUUUCACAAAUUUUUAGUUUUAUUUCUGCAUCGCAUUUUUUAAAUACACUUAAUUGCUAUUUCUAUCGAUAUCAAUAGUGCUUUUUGAAUAAAGCAUUGCUCACAAUUUUUGGCUCGGAAAACACGACAAAUAUACGAUGAAUAAUGCAACGUAUGGAUUAGAGUAGAGUGGAAUUGGACUCGCAAUUAUUUGUAAGCGAUGAAUUUUGAAAUUAAUAGUGUAAGUGAUAAAAUUAAUGAUAUCAGAGUGUCGAUGUUUAGCGCGUUAAUUCAAUGAUACUAGGAACCUGUUAAUGCGACAGACAUGGUAAUACGGAUAUAGCGAGGUAACGGCGAUCAUACCCUUAAUCAGCCUCCGACGUACGAUGUUAUUGGAUUCAAUCGACACAUGAACGUUCGAGCGCGAAGACGAGCGCGAGAAGAAUCACAGGAAGCCGGCGGGAGGGGCGGAGAGAGUUUAUCGAUUUCCCCCAAGCCUGGGAAGGUCUGGCCUAGGAAGAGGCUUCUCUCGAGAGGUCCCUCUCGCCAUUUCGCUCUCGUGUGCGCGGAAGGAGACUUACCGAGAAUUUUUCUCACGUUUUCAGCCGAGGGCGAUCAUGACAGGAACAUACCGGAGAUCGAAAGCGCGUACGAAGAUGAGGAGCAGUUCGCCAGGGGCGGCAGAACCCCUGGUGAAGGCGUUAGUAAAGAAGACGGUCCAGGCGGAGGUGGUACAAACGACUUUCCCUUGAGAAUGGCGGCCGACACAACGAGGGGUCGAAUCACUGCCGUCGCCGGCGGCUUCCUGCGAGGCGCCGGGCAGCAUGUGAACUUCGACCCCGAGGCGCCUCCACCGCCGCUGCAUGUCGCACAACAGCAGACGACUAGUUUACUCGAACGACCGGAAAUCGACAAGAAAGUUAAGAGGCACAGCAUACACGGCAUGAUGGAGGAGGAGAACGUGGUGAGGCCUCAUCAGGAAAUGGCCAGCCUGUCGCUCCAGGAGAAGAAAUAUCUUCUCGCCGUUGAGCGCGGAGACGUGGCUUCCGUCAGAAGAAUGCUCCAAAAAGCCCACGAGGCCGACAUUAACAUCAACUGCGUGGAUCCUCUCGGACGAUCGGCGCUGCUCAUGGCGAUCGAUAAUGAAAAUCUGGAGAUGGUGGAGCUUUUAAUAGAGCACAAGGUCGAUACCAAGGAUGCACUCCUUCACGCCAUCUCCGAGGAAUUUGUCGAGGCGGUGGAGGUCCUUUUGGAGCAUGAGGAGACACUCCAUAGAAAUGGCGAGCCACAUAGCUGGGAGGCUCUACCCCCUGAUACAGCCACGUUCACGCCCGACAUCACGCCGUUGAUCUUGUCGGCCCAUAGAGACAACUAUGAAAUCAUAAAGAUCCUUUUGGAUCGCGGAUCCACCCUACCGAUGCCGCACGACGUACGUUGCGGAUGCGACGAGUGCGUGACAUCGAGGAUGGAGGAUUCCCUGAGGCAUUCGAGGAGCCGAAUAAACGCCUAUCGGGCUCUGGCGUCGCCGUCCUUGAUAGCACUGUCGUCUAAGGAUCCCAUACUGACUGCCUUCGAGCUCUCCUGGGAACUUCGACGACUUUCGUUCUUAGAGCACGAGUUCAAGUGCGAGUAUCAAGAGCUCCGAAGACAGUGCCAAGAUUUCGCCACCGCUUUGCUGGACCACACCAGAAGUUCCUACGAGCUUGAGGUCCUGCUGAAUCACGAUCCAACGGGACCAGCCUUCGAGCACGGGGAGAGGAUGCAUCUCAACCGCUUGAAAUUAGCGAUUAAACUGCGGCAAAAGAAGACCAAUAGAAUUUCAAUUUGUCAAAGAAGAAAAGAUCGUAGUCAAAUUUUGCGUUGAUGAUAUCAAGGCCCAAAUAUCUUCAUUAACAUUAUCCACUUCAAAAGAAGAAAUAAACAAUUUGGAUUUGAUUGAGAAAAAAGCUAUCAAAGAAGAACACCUGUCGUUUGGAUUGUCAUUAUUGCAUUGCUGGAUCAGAUGCUUUGAAUGUUCGUUACAUAUUUCCUACAGAAUAAAUAUAAAAUGUUGGGCUGUUACAGGUGAGCAAAACAAGCGAAAAAUUGAAGAAAGGAAAAAAGCCAUACAAUCCGCUUUCAGAACCAAAAUGGGCUUAUUAAUUGAUAUUGUAAAACAAGGAACAGGCACAUCUAACGAUGGCAAUACUGCCAGAAAAUUCUUCGCUGAUCCAAAUUUGUCAGCUGAAAUCACAGGCCUGGAUAAAAAUCUAAUAAUUCGAUUUUCAAUUUUAUUACAAACAAUUGCCAGUGGAAAAAAGUGGAUAUAACGAAAUUUCAAGUUUAUGCUUAUGAUACUGCAAAACUUUAUGUUCGGCUAUAUCCAUGGUAUUAUAUGCCAGUAACAGUGCACAAAUUGUUGAUUCAUGGAAGCGCUAUAAUAAAAUAUGCAAUUGUACCAAUAGGUCAAUUAUCUGAAGAUGCCCAAGAAGCGAAUCACAAAUAUUUUCGAAAUUAUAGGGAAAAUCAUUCUCGAAAAAUGUCUCGAAAAAUGAAUAACGAAAAUAUAUUUACGAAUCUGUUAAUUGCUUCAGACCCAGUUGUUUCACAUUCAAGACGAAUAAUUGAACACAAAAAAAAGAACUAUGUGACGAUGCUAAGAAUCUUUUAGAACUUGACGAAUCAGAUUGUUAUGAGUAAAAUAAUAAAGACACUUGGCGGACACUCAGAAAUGAAAUUGAUCAUAUAUACAAUAUUAGCUUUGCUUAGUUAUU